AUGGCGGCGACAGGGAGCGCUAAGAGCCGACGGUUCGCCGCAGCGUGCGGCGUUCUCAGCCGCUGCAUCAAGGCGGCGGAGGCGCGGCUGGUGGCUCUCCCCCUCAUGCCCGGAGCGGAAGUGCCCGCGCUGCAAGACGAGCACGCGGUGGGUCCUGCGCCGGAGCACGCGCAGAUGACCAUCUUCUACGGUGGGCGGGUGCUAGUGCUGGACGAGGUCCCGGCCGACAAGGCCGCCGAGCUGCUCCGUGUCGCUGCCGCAGCAGGCACCGUGCGAGGGGACGGCGACCUGCCCAUGGCGAGGAAGGCGUCGCUGCAGAGGUUCAUGGAGAAGCGCAAGGGAAGGCUCGCCGAGCGCGCCGUCCCCUACAGCAGGCCCGACGGCGAUGCGUUCUCCUGUAGCCGUCUCACGCUUACGCUCUGA
rnacentral:rRNA from 1 species